GAUGAACGCUGGCGGCGUGCCUAAUACAUGCAAGUCGAGCGAACGGACGAGAAGCUUGCUUCUCUGAUGUUAGCGGCGGACGGGUGAGUAACACGUGGAUAACCUACCUAUAAGACUGGGAUAACUUCGGGAAACCGUAGCUAAUACCGGAUAAUAUUUUGAACCGCAUGGUUCAAAAGUGAAAGACGGUCUUGCUGUCACUUAUAGAUGGAUCCGCGCUGCAUUAGCUAGUUGGUAAGGUAACGGCUUACCAAGGCAACGAUGCAUAGCCGACCUGAGAGGGUGAUCGGCCACACUGGAACUGAGACACGAUCCAGACGCCUACGGGAGGCAGCAGUAGGGAAUCUUCCGCAAUGGGCGAAAGCCUGACGGAGCAACGCCGCGUGAGUGAUGAAGGUCUUCGGAUCGUAAAACUCUGUUAUUAGGGAAGAACAUAUGUGUAAGUAACUGUGCACAUCUUGACGGUACCUAAUCAGAAAGCCACGGCUAACUACGUG
rnacentral:rRNA from 1 species